rnacentral:rRNA from 1 species
GGGAAAGUAGCUUGCUACUUUUGCCGGCGAGCGGCGGACGGGUGAGUAAUGCCUGGGGAUCUGCCCAGUCGAGGGGGAUAACAGUUGGAAACGACUGCUAAUACCGCAUACGCCCUACGGGGGAAAGGAGGGGACCUUCGGGCCUUUCGCGAUUGGAUGAACCCAGGUGGGAUUAGCUAGUUGGUGGGGUAAUGGCUCACCAAGGCGACGAUCCCUAGCUGGUCUGAGAGGAUGAUCAGCCACACUGGAACUGAGACACGGUCCAGACUCCUACGGGAGGCAGCAGUGGGGAAUAUUGCACAAUGGGGGAAACCCUGAUGCAGCCAUGCCGCGUGUGUGAAGAAGGCCUUCGGGUUGUAAAGCACUUUCAGCGA